rnacentral:rRNA from 1 species
UACGUAGGGGGCAAGCGUUGUCCGGAUUUAUUGGGCGUAAAGAGCGUGUAGGCGGCCGUACAGGUCAGCUGUGAAAACUCGAGGCUCAACCUCGAGACGUCGGUUGAAACCGUACGGCUAGAGUCCGGAAGAGGAGAGUGGAAUUCCCGGUGUAGCGGUGAAAUGCGCAGAUAUCGGGAAGAACACCCGUGGCGAAGGCGGCUCUCUGGGACGGUACUGACGCUGAGACGCGAAAGCGUGGGGAGCAAACGGG